CAGGUUCAAAUCACAGGUGUAGACC
rnacentral:miRNA from 1 species